CCUGAGGGUGAGGGGCAGAGGGAAGGGUCUUUGAUGGGCAGUGAGAGGAACCAGGCUGCCGGAGCCAACCCAGGGCUGCCCCUUCCUGGCCCAGUCAGAGCCCUUGGGCUUGAGAAACACUGUCUUUCGUGGAGGGGCUUUGGCCUCACUCUUUCUUGGCUUCCACCACCCAGGGAGGCUGCAGAUGGCAGAAUCUGUGGGGACAGCAGCUGCGACUGAGUCCACGGGCUGACGCUGAGCUGCUUAGGCCGAGGCGGUGCAGUCAGUCCAGAGCUCCCGGAACAGGCAUCUGCAGGGCUUGAGCCAAGGCCACCGCGAUGCCACACUUCCUGGACUGGUUCGUGCCUGUUUACCUGGUCAUCUCUGUCCUCAUCCUGGUGGGCUUCGGUGCCUGCAUCUACUACUUCGAGCCCGGCUUGCAGGAGGCACACAAGUGGCGCAUGCAGCGCCCCCUGGUGGACCGUGACCUCCGCAAGACGCUGAUGGUCCGCGACAACCUGGCCUUUGGGGGCCCCGAGGUCUGAAUUGACAGUGGUUGAGGGGGCAGGCACCAGGCUCCCUCUCCAUCCCCGCCCAGCCAGGAGGUCCAGGGGCAGAGGGAGGAGGACCCCCUCGUCCUCCAGUCCAUCCCUCUGCAGCCUGAGUCCUCCCAGGAAGAGGUGCUCCAGGAGGACCCUGGCUGUGAGAGAUGGGGCACCCGGGUGCCUUGAGGUGUGGCUGCUGAUGGCCCAGGGCUUGCUCUCCUGUCAAGCCAGUUCACCCCACACCUGCCCUCCCCAGCUCUGGAGACACCCCCACUGGCCCCAGUGCCUUUGUCCUCCUAGCACACCUGCCUCUCCCCCUGGAGUCAUGGGCAGCUGCCCCGGCCUGUCCUGAGUCUCCAGAUCUCCCACUUCCCUAUCGGAUCCUCAGUUACACUCGGCUCCCCACUCCAGCCAAUGACACUGACCCUGCAGUUUCACGUGGUGGGCUUCAACGCUGACCCAAGGAAAGGGCCCUCUUUGGAGGAAUGUCAGCUUAGUCCAGCCCAGCCCUACCACUCUGGACCCAGGUGUGGCACUGGUGAGUGUGUGCGUGGAGUUUGCAAGGGGCAAGGCAAUAGAGGAAGGAAGUGCGUGUGUGAUAGACUUUGGGGACACUGGCAGACAGGGAGAGGGGAGGAGAUGCAUAUAUGUCUGAGAGGAAGAGUGGGGGCUCCGGGUAGGAUGGGAGGUGGUGAAGAUGGGGUGCGUGUUCUGGGCUGUGUGGGGGCCACCAGCAGCAAUUCCCACCCCCCCUCUGCUGGACUUCUCUAUCCCUCCCCUUUCCCAAGGCUGUUGCAGUUGGCAGGAGCCCCUGCCCUCCCCUCCUGGUCCCUACUGCACCUCCAGGGCCAAUCUCAGUUUCCCACCAAGCCAGGCCCCCUGGGCCCCCAACCCUACCCUGGAGCCCUCCUCCUCAGUCAAGCACCACCACCUCCUUUUGGGCAUAGCUUGGCAACCUGCCUCACUCUCCUCUGGGGCUUCCAUCUUAAUUUACUGCAGUAAUAAAGACUUCAUGAGUACCUUUGCA